rnacentral:rRNA from 1 species
GACGAACGCUGGCGGCGUGCUUAACACAUGCAAGUCGAACGGAAAGGCCCUGCUUUUGUGGGGUGCUCGAGUGGCGAACGGGUGAGUAACACGUGAGUAACCUGCCCUUGACUUUGGGAUAACUUCAGGAAACUGGGGCUAAUACCGGAUAGGAGCUCCUGCUGCAUGGUGGGAGUUGGAAAGUUUCGGCGGUUGGGGAUGGACUCGCGGCUUAUCAGCUUGUUGGUGGGGUAGUGGCUUACCAAGGCUUUGACGGGUAGCCGGCCUGAGAGGGUGACCGGCCACAUUGGGACUGAGAUACGGCCCAGACUCCUACGGGAGGCAGCAGUGGGGAAUAUUGCACAAUGGGCGGAAGCCUGAUGCAGCAACGCCGCGUGCGGGAUGACGGCCUUCGGGUUGUAAACCGCUUUCGCCUGUGACGAAGCGUGAGUGACGGUAAUGGGUAAAGAAGCACCGGCUAACUACGUG